rnacentral:rRNA from 1 species
AAAUUGAAGAGUUUGAUCAUGGCUCAGAUUGAACGCUGGCGGCAGGCCUAACACAUGCAAGUCGAACGGUAACAGGAAACAGCUUGCUGUUUCGCUGACGAGUGGCGGACGGGUGAGUAAUGUCUGGGAAACUGCCUGAUGGAGGGGGAUAACUACUGGAAACGGUAGCUAAUACCGCAUAACGUCGCAAGACCAA